ACAGCAGCCGCCGCGGUAAUACGUAGGGUGCAAGCGUUAAUCGGAAUUACUGGGCGUAAAGCGUGCGCAGGCGGUUAUAUAAGACAUAUGUGAAAUCCCCGGGCUCAACCUGGGAACUGCAUUUGUGACUGUAUAGCUAGAGUACGGCAGAGGGGGAUGGAAUUCCGCGUGUAGCAGUGAAAUGCGUAGAUAUGCGGAGGAAUACCGAUGGCGAAGGCAAUCCCCUGGGCCUGUACUGACGCUCAUGCACGAAAGCGUGGGGAUCAAACAGGAUUAGAUACCCCCGUAGUCCCUGUCUCUUAUAC
rnacentral:rRNA from 1 species